UGCAAACCCAGGUGGUGGUGGU
rnacentral:siRNA from 1 species